rnacentral:rRNA from 1 species
AUUGAACGCUGGCGGCAGGCUUAACACAUGCAAGUCGAGCGAGCGGCGGACGGGUGAGUAAUGUCUGGGAAACUGCCUGAUGGAGGGGGCUAACUACUGGAAACGGUAGCUAAUACAGCAUACCAUCAGAUGUUCCCAGAUGGGAUUAGCUAGUAGGUGGGAUAAUGGCUCACCUAGGACACGGUCCCUAGCUGGUCUGAGAGGAUGACGAGCCACCGUGGAACAGAGACACGGUCCAUACUCCUACGUGAGGCAGCAGGGGGGAAUAUUGCACAAUGGGCGCAAGCCUGAGGCAGCCACGCCGCGUGUGUGAAGAAGGCCUGCGGGUUGUAAAGCACUUUCAGCGAGGAGGCGUUACUCGCAGAAGACGCACCGGAUAACUCCGUGCCAGCAGCCGCGGUAAU